rnacentral:rRNA from 1 species
UACGGAGGGGGCUAGCGUUGUUCGGAAUUACUGGGCGUAAAGCGCGCGUAGGCGGCUUUGUAAGUUAGAGGUGAAAGCCCGGAGCUCAACUCCGGAAUUGCCUUUAAGACUGCAUCGCUAGAAUCAUGGAGAGGUGAGUGGAAUUCCGAGUGUAGAGGUGAAAUUCGUAGAUAUUCGGAAGAACACCAGUGGCGAAGGCGACUCACUGGACUGGUAUUGACGCUGAGGUGCGAAAGCGUGGGGAGCAAACAGG